UUUGACCUCAAAUCAGGUAGGACUACCCGCUGAACUUAAGCAUAUCAAUAAGCGGAGGAAAAGAAACUAACAAGGAUUCCCCUAGUAACUGCGAGUGAAGCGGGAAAAGCUCAAAUUUGAAAUCUGGCAGUCUUUUUUUUCUUCUUUGGCUGUCCGAGUUGUAAUCUAGAGAAGUGCUUACCUGCGCUGGACCAUGUAUAAGUCUCCUGGAAUGGAGCGUCGCAGAGGGUGAGAAUCCCGUCUUUGACAUGGACUGCCAGCGUGUUGUGGUGUGCUCUCAAAGAGUCGAGUUGUUUGGGAAUGCAGCUCUAAACGGGUGGUAAACUCCAUCUAAAGCUAAACAUUGGCGAGAGACCGAUAGCGAACAAGUACCGUGAGGGAAAGAUGAAAAGGACUUUGGAAAGAGAGUUAAACAGUAUGUGAAAUUGUUGAAAGGGAAACGCUUGAAGUCAGUUGUGUUGGCUGGGGAUCAACCUAGCUGUUUUGCUGGGUGGUUUUCCUAGUCUGACAGGCCAACAUCAGUCUUGGCUGCUGGAAAAGAGCGGGGGGAAUGUGGCACCUUU
rnacentral:rRNA from 1 species